CAGCAGCCGCGGUAACACGUAUGUUCCAAGCGUUAUCCGGAUUUAUUGGGCGUAAAGCGAGCGCAGACGGUUAUUUAAGUCUGAAGUGAAAGCCCACAGCUUAACUGUGGAAGUGCUUUGGAAACUGGAUAACUUGAGUGCAGUAGAGGAAAGUGGAACUCCAUGUGUAGCGGUGAAAUGCGUAGAUAUAUGGAAGAACACCAGCGGCGAAGGCGGCUUUCUGGACUGUAACAGACGUUGAGGCUCGAAAGUGUGGGUAGCAAACAGGAUUAGAUACCCCAGUAGUCCCUGUCUCUUAUAC
rnacentral:rRNA from 1 species